rnacentral:rRNA from 1 species
UCAGGACGAACGCUGGCGGCGUGCCUAAUACAUGCAAGUCGAGCGAGACUCUUCGGAGUCUAGCGGCGGACGGGUGAGUAACACGUGGGCAACCUGCCUGUAAGACUGGGAUAACACCGGGAAACCGGUGCUAAUACCGGAUAAUCCUUUUCCUCUCAUGAGGAAAAGCUGAAAGUCGGUUUCGGCUGNCACUUACAGAUGGGCCCGCGGCGCAUUAGCUAGUUGGUGAGGUAACGGCUCACCAAGGCGACGAUGCGUAGCCGACCUGAGAGGGUGAUCGGCCACACUGGGACUGAGACACGGCCCAGACUCCUACGGGAGGCAGCAGUAGGGAAUCUUCCACAAUGGACGAAAGUCUGAUGGAGCAACGCCGCGUGAGCGAUGAAGGCCUUCGGGUCGUAAAGCUCUGUUGUUAGGGAAG